rnacentral:snRNA from 1 species
GUGCUCGUUUCAGCAGCACUUAUGCUAAAAUUGGAAUGCUACAGAGAAAGUUAGCCUGGCCCCUGUGCAAGCAUGACAUGCAAAUUCAUGAAGAGUUCCAUUUCUUU